GGACCCUUUUAGUAGAAUCAGGGCUUAAACAGCAACUUAAUUUAUGACACUUCUCUAGGCUGAUGGCAUUUUUGUUCUCAGUAAUUCUUUAUGCAUGCCAUUGUUGCUGUUAUUAUCCAAGAUGUGAUCUUGUGUGGUUGAUAAUACUGACUAGAUAUGAAUACUGGAAUAUGGAAUGUUUAAGAAGAGAGCAAAGAAGAAUGAAGACUCUUAUCAUUUUGGAGCAGUACAGGGAUCAUCCUGAACUGGCUGAGUGGAAGUCCAUGGUUCCUUACCUCAGAAUCACAGGAUCUACCGGCUUUAUUUUAAAAAGCGGUCCCAGAUGUUGAUCCUGCCUCUUUGUAACAUGCAAGAAGCAAGAGCUCUGUGAAGAUGUCUCACUCAUAUAUGAGUUGACGUUUUGUAUUGAGGAUUUUGAGACCAGCAGAGAAGCUACCCUUACAAGGUGUGAUUGAGCCAUUCAUCAUAAUCUGUCUUUUGAAAACAUACCUUGCUAUUAAUUGCUUCCCCUCUUGUUUUCUCAACCUCUGUCUGUUUAUAAUAACAACAAUAACUAGCAUGUAUGUAGCACUUUGAGAUCUGUAAAUGCUUUACAUAAGCCCAUUAGAUUGUGAGCUACUUGAAGGCAGGGAUUCUCUUUUGCCUUUCUUUGUAUCCCCAGCACUUAGUACAGUUCCUGGCCCAUAGUAGGUGCUAAUAAAUGCUUAUUGACUGAAAUACA
rnacentral:lncRNA from 1 species